GGAAGUAAAUGUCGUAACAAGGUUUCCGUAGGUGAACCUGCGGAAGGAUCAUUAUUGUAUAACCGAGGUGCGAGGGCUGUCGCUGACCCGAAAGGUCGUGCACGCCCGAGUGCCCUCACACACAUCCAUCUCACCCCUAUGUGCACCACCGCGUGGGUCCCCCUUUGGCUUGUUCGGAGGGGGGCUUGCGUUUUCACACAAACUUUGUAUGCAGUGUAGAAUGUAUUUUUUGUUUUUGCGAUCACGCAAUCAAUACAACUUUCAACAACGGAUCUCUUGGCUCUC
rnacentral:misc_RNA from 1 species